UACGGGGGGAGCAAGCGUUGUUCGGAUUUACUGGGCGUAAAGGGCGCGUAGGCGGCGUAACAAGUCACUUGUGAAAUCUCCGGGCUUAACCCGGAGCGGCCAAGUGAUACUGUUGUGCUAGAGUGCAGAAGGGGCAACUGGAAUUCUCGGUGUAGCGGUGAAAUGGCGUAGAUAAUCGAGAGGAACACCUGUCGGCGAAGGCGGGUUGCUGGGCUGACA
rnacentral:rRNA from 1 species